GUGGGUGUAGCUCAGUUGGUUAGAGCGCCAGGUUGUGGCCCUGGAGGUCGUGGGUUCGAGUCCCAUCACUCACCCCA
rnacentral:tRNA from 1 species